GAUGAACGCUAGCGGCAGGCCUAACACAUGCAAGUCGAGGGGCAUCACGGAUUGCUUGCAAUCUGGUGGCGACCGGCGCACGGGUGCGUAACGCGUAUACAACCUACCUUUUGGAGGGGAAUAGCCCAGAGAAAUUUGGAUUAAUACCCCAUAGUAUAUAGGAAUCUCCUGAUUUUUAUAUUAAACAUUUAUGGCCAUUAGAUGGGUAUGCGUCCUAUUAGCUAGUUGGUAAGGUAACGGCUUACCAAGGCAGCGAUAGGUAGGGGUCCUGAGAGGGAGAUCCCCACACUGGUACUGAGACACGGACCAGACUCCUACGGGAGGCAGCAGUGAGGAAUAUUGGACAAUGGGCGAGAGCCUGAUCCAGCCAUGCCGCGUGCAGGAAGACUGCCCUAUGGGUUGUAAACUGCUUUUACAGAGGAAGAACCACCCCCACGUGUGGGGGUUUGACGGUACUCUGCGAAUAAGGAUCGGCUAACUCCGUG
rnacentral:rRNA from 1 species